rnacentral:rRNA from 1 species
GAAAGGGCGCACGGUGGAUGCCUUGACACUAGGAGUCGAUGAAGGACGGGACUAACGCCGAUAUGCUUCGGGGAGCUGUAAGUAAGCUUUGAUCCGAAGAUUUCCGAAUGGGGAAACCCACCAUACGUAAUGGUAUGGUAUCCUUAUCUGAAUACAUAGGGUAAGGAAGACAGACCCAGGGAACUGAAACAUCUAAGUACCUGGAGGAAGAGAAAGCAAAUGCGAUUUCCUGAGUAGCGGCGAGCGAAACGGAACAUAGCCCAAACCAAGAGGCUUGCCUCUUGGGGUUGUAGGACAUUCUAUACGGAGUUACAAAGGAACGAGGUAGACGAAGCGACCUGGAAAGGUCCGUCGUAGAGGGUAACAACCCCGUAGUCGAAACUUCGUUCUCUCUUGAAUGUAUCCUGAGUACGGCGGAACACGUGAAAUUCCGUCGGAAUCUGGGAGGACCAUCUCCCAAGGCUAAAUACUCCCUAGUGAUCGAUAGUGAACCAGUACCGUGAGGGAAAGGUGAAAAGCACCCCGGAAGGGGAGUGAAAGAGAUCCUGAAACCGUGUGCCUACAAAUAGUCAGAGCCCGUUAACGGGUGAUGGCGUGCCUUUUGUAGAAUGAACCGGCGAGUUACGAUCCCGUGCGAGGUUAAGCUGAAGAGGCGGAGCCGCAGCGAAAGCGAGUCUGAAUAGGGCGUUUAGUACGUGGUCGUAGACCCGAAACCAGGUGAUCUACCCAUGUCCAGGGUGAAGUUCAGGUAACACUGAAUGGAGGCCCGAACCCACGCACGUUGAAAAGUGCGGGGAUGAGGUGUGGGUAGCGGAGAAAUUCCAAUCGAACCUGGAGAUAGCUGGUUCUCCCCGAAAUAGCUUUAGGGCUAGCCUUAAGUGUAAGAGUCUUGGAGGUAGAGCACUGAUUGGACUAGGGGUCCUCAUCGGAUUACCGAAUUCAGUCAAACUCCGAAUGCCAAUGACUUAUCCUUAGGAGUCAGACUGCGAGUGAUAAGAUCCGUAGUCAAAAGGGAAACAGCCCAGACCGCCAGCUAAGGUCCCAAAGUGUGUAUUAAGUGGAAAAGGAUGUGGAGUUGCUUAGACAACUAGGAUGUUGGCUUAGAAGCAGCCACCAUUUAAAGAGUGCGUAAUAGCUCACUAGUCGAGUGACUCUGCGCCGAAAAUGUACCGGGGCUAAAUACACCACCGAAGCUGCGGAUUGAUACCAAUGGUAUCAGUGGUAGGGGAGCGUUCUAAGGACAGUGAAGUCAGACCGGAAGGACUGGUGGAGUGCUUAGAAGUGAGAAUGCCGGUAUGAGUAGCGAAAGACGGGUGAGAAUCCCGUCCACCGAAUGCCUAAGGUUUCCUGAGGAAGGCUCGUCCGCUCAGGGUUAGUCAGGACCUAAGCCGAGGCCGACAGGCGUAGGCGAUGGACAACAGGUUGAUAUUCCUGUACCACCUCUUUAUCGUUUGAGCAAUGGAGGGACGCAGAAGGAUAGAAGAAGCGUGCGAUUGGUUGUGCACGUCCAAGCAGUUAGGCUGAUAAGUAGGCAAAUCCGCUUAUCGNCUGAGGAAGGCUCGUCCGCUCAGGGUUAGUCAGGACCUAAGCCGAGGCCGACAGGCGUAGGCGAUGGACAACAGGUUGAUAUUCCUGUACCACCUCUUUAUCGUUUGAGCAAUGGAGGGACGCAGAAGGAUAGAAGAAGCGUGCGAUUGGUUGUGCACGUCCAAGCAGUUAGGCUGAUAAGUAGGCAAAUCCGCUUAUCGUAAAGGCUGAGCUGUGAUGGGGAAGCUCCUUAUGGAGCGAAGUCUUUGAUUCCCCGCUGCCAAGAAAAGCUUCUAGCGAGAUAAAAGGUGCCUGUACCGCAAACCGNACCUCUUUAUCGUUUGAGCAAUGGAGGGACGCAGAAGGAUAGAAGAAGCGUGCGAUUGGUUGUGCACGUCCAAGCAGUUAGGCUGAUAAGUAGGCAAAUCCGCUUAUCGUAAAGGCUGAGCUGUGAUGGGGAAGCUCCUUAUGGAGCGAAGUCUUUGAUUCCCCGCUGCCAAGAAAAGCUUCUAGCGAGAUAAAAGGUGCCUGUACCGCAAACCGACACAGGUAGGCGAGGAGAGAAUCCUAAGGUGUGCGAGAGAACUCUGGUUAAGGAACUCGGCAAAAUGACCCCGUAACUUCGGGAGAAGGGGUGCUUUCUUAACGGAAAGCCGCAGUGAAUAGGCCCAAGCGACUGUUUAGCAAAAACACAGCUCUCUGCGAAGCCGUAAGGCGAAGUAUAGGGGGUGACACCUGCCCGGUGCUGGAAGGUUAAGGAGAGGGGUUAGCGUAAGCGAAGCUCUGAACUGAAGCCCCAGUAAACGGCGGCCGUAACUAUAACGGUCCUAAGGUAGCGAAAUUCCUUGUCGGGUAAGUUCCGACCNAAAAACACAGCUCUCUGCGAAGCCGUAAGGCGAAGUAUAGGGGGUGACACCUGCCCGGUGCUGGAAGGUUAAGGAGAGGGGUUAGCGUAAGCGAAGCUCUGAACUGAAGCCCCAGUAAACGGCGGCCGUAACUAUAACGGUCCUAAGGUAGCGAAAUUCCUUGUCGGGUAAGUUCCGACCCGCACGAAAGGUGUAACGAUUUGGGCACUGUCUCAACCAGAGACUCGGUGAAAUUAUAGUACCUGUGAAGAUGCAGGUUACCCGCGACAGGACGGAAAGACCCCGUGGAGCUUUACUGUAGCCUGAUAUUGAAUUUUGGUACAGUUUGUACAGGAUAGGCGGGAGCCAUUGAAACCGGAGCGCUAGCUUCGGUGGAGGCGCUGGUGGGAUACCGCCCUGACUGUAUUGAAAUUCUAACCUACGGGUCUUAUCGACCCGGGAGACAGUGUCAGGUGGGCAGUUUGACUGGGGCGGUCGCCUCCUAAAGUGUAACGGAGGCGCCCAAAGGUUCCCUCAGAAUGGUUGGAAAUCAUUCGUAGAGUGCAAAGGCAUAAGGGAGCUUGACUGCGAGACCUACAAGUCGAGCAGGGACGAAAGUCGGGCUUAGUGAUCCGGUGGUUCCGCAUGGAAGGGCCAUCGCUCAACGGAUAAAAGCUACCCCGGGGAUAACAGGCUUAUCUCCCCCAAGAGUCCACAUCGACGGGGAGGUUUGGCACCUCGAUGUCGGCUCAUCGCAUCCUGGGGCUGUAGUCGGUCCCAAGGGUUGGGCUGUUCGCCCAUUAAAGCGGUACGCGAGCUGGGUUCAGAACGUCGUGAGACAGUUCGGUCCCUAUCCGUCGUGGGCGUAGGAAAUUUGAGAGGAGCUGUCCUUAGUACGAGAGGACCGGGAUGGACGCACCGCUGGUGUACCAGUUGUUCUGCCAAGGGCAUAGCUGGGUAGCUAUGUGCGGAAGGGAUAAGUGCUGAAAGCAUCUAAGCAUGAAGCCCCCCUCAAGAUGAGAUUUCCCAUAGCGUAAGCUAGUAAGAUCCCUGAAAGAUGAUCAGGUUGAUAGGUUCGAGGUGGAAGCAUGGUGACAUGUGGAGCUGACGAAUACUAAUAGAUCGAGGACUUAACC